AACGGAGUCGAUGAGAAGGAGCUCCUUAGUACCACGACUACCGCCCCGACAUCCGUUCUGAGCCCCAGACAUGAUGUUAUUCUCGUCUAUGUGACGGGAGAUCUUGAGGCUCAGAACGGAUGUCAGUGUCUUAUAGAUGGUAGUAAGACACGUAAUGGGACGAUACUUAGCCGGGUCGGUGGCAUCGGUGGACUUUGGAGCUAGGUGAGUGAUCCCGGUAGUGAAAAGGCUCGGGAGUGCCCUCUGCUCGAGAGCCUCUUGGAAUUGUCGAGCCAAGGUCGCAUGGCAAACCGAAAAACCUUUUAGCCAGUAGUGAUGCAGUCCGUCGGGUCCCGGGCUUUUCCAGUUCGGAGCCCGCCUUACUGCACCAGCUACAUCCUCCGCAGAGAUGGCGACCGGGUUCAUCGGCUCUAUUCUGGCACAUGCUUCCUCUACCGCCACAAUCCAAGGGCCCUCUUCAUGCUCCACCUCUCUCGACCACACCCCCCGCCAGAAAGCGACUAGGUCGGCCGGGUCUGGUUGCUGAGAGGUAGAGCAGACUGCUGGGCACUCCAGUCUUUUGUAGAACCUUUUCUGAUCACUCGAGAAGAGACGAUUUUGCUGAAAUCGCUCAACUCUUGCCGAGUAUCGUCGGAUGCGGUUCCCCCAUGCAGCGAUUUUCUGCUUCAGGUCGUCGAUGCGCUCUGUUAGCUUUUGCGCAAUAUCGGGCUGGUCCAACCUGACCCCACACCCAUUAACACUUUAAC